rnacentral:rRNA from 1 species
UACGUAGGGGGCGAGCGUUGUCCGGAUUUAUUGGGCGUAAAGAGCUCGUAGGCGGCUUAGUAAGUCGGGUGUGAAACCUCCAGGCUCAACCUGGAGACGCCACCCGAUACUGCUGUGGCUAGAGUCCGGUAGGGGAGCGUGGAAUUCCUGGUGUAGCGGUGAAAUGCGCAGAUAUCAGGAGGAACACCAGCGGCGAAGGCGGCGCUCUGGGCCGGUACUGACACUGAGGAGCGAAAGCGUGGGGAGCGAACAGG